ACGAAGGGGGCUAGCGUUGUUCGGAAUUACUGGGCGUAAAGGGCGCGUAGGCGGUUCUAUAAGUCAGGAGUGAAAUCCCCAGGCUCAACCUGGGAAUUGCUUUUGAGACUGUAGAGCUAGAGUGCAGGAGAGGUGAGUGGAAUUCCCAGUGUAGAGGUAAAAUUCGUAGAUAUUGGGAGGAACACCAGUGGCGAAGGCGGCUCACUGGCCUGUAACUGACGCUGAGGCGCGAAAGCGUGGGGAGCAAACAGGA
rnacentral:rRNA from 1 species